rnacentral:rRNA from 1 species
UGGGCGUAAGGGCUCGCAGGCGGUUUCUUAAGUCUGAUGUGAAAGCCCCCGGCUCAACCGGGGAGGGUCAUUGGAAACUGGGGAACUUGAGUGCAGAAGAGGAGAGUGGAAUUCCACGUGUAGCGGUGAAAUGCGUAGAGAUGUGGAGGAACACCAGUGGCGAAGGCGACUCUCUGGUCUGUAACUGACGCUGAGGAGCGAAAGCGUGGGGAGCGAACAGGAUUAGAUACCCUGGUAGUCCACGCCGUAAACGAUGAGUGCUAAGUGUUAGGGCGUUUCCGCCCCUUAGUGCUGCAGCUAACGCA